AUGGGCUCGGGUUAGCACAUUAUGCUAUACGUUUGCGAUACUGAGUCUCGCCUAUGUCUCUGGUUCAGCCGUGAUAAGUCUUCGUUUUUCAAACAUUCGUUACAGGGUCACGUUCAGAACUACUGGAAUACCUCUACUUGGUGUUGCAGCCAAGAAGCAUGACAGCCUUUCUUUGACGGGAUGAGUAGGAGUGCCAGCUUUUAUGCCAAGAAAAGAAAAGCUAAAUCUUAACGCUAAUUGAUGAGAAAAGGGACCCUAGCAUCUAGCACAUACACGCGUGUAGAAUAUCCUGAAUACGUAUUUACUUCCAAAUCGUCUUCUUCGGCCAGAGAGUAUUUCCAUGUAGUACUGAUUAGGGAUCAAUAGGCAUAUCAGAAUUCAUCACACGUUAUACCGGUGAAACGCUGUGAUAAUAUGAUAGGGGGCUCACUAAUUCUUUCGAUUCGUUAGAAAUUUGGAAAAUCUUGCAAGCCGACGCAAAGAUAUUACGGCCAACCGGUUCUUUUACGAACAAGUUUAUCGCUAGAACUGACCGUGACUGGCUUUGACCUGAAAUGUUCUCUCCUUUAUGUAAGCUAAUCUUCUAGUACUUUUUUCUUCUGCACUGCACGUUUCGGGAUAGUGCAUCGACUGGUUUAUGUUAUCAUGGUGCAGGUUUUCUAGUCGUACGAUCUUAGGGAAAACCUCUUUAAACGCCGUGUUGCACUUUGUACAUUCGUUGCAUUUUCAUGCUUGAGUCCAGCGAGUUGAGAUGGAUAUUGUAUUGUUAUAUAUAAUAUCGACAUCGGGAGCUUCUGUCCACAUGCCUGUUUAAAACUUGGAAGACAACUGCUUCAAAAUCGACUGUCCUCCUUCUUGAUGUUCUUAACUUGUGUCGCAUUGUUAUAUUGAAAAAGGUUAGUGAAAUAAUGAAGCAGUGUUUAUAUGCGCCAGUUGUGGUGCUGCACGAUGAGUUAACACUUAGUAGACUAACAGUACGAUGGGCGUAUUUGUCUUCAAAAAAGUCUUCAUAAGCGAUUGAAGGGCUAACGGAAAUUGAGUGCUAAAGAUGCUGGAGCCUGCCACCUGACGAUACUAUAGACAGCUCGUAUUGCCCAAUAGCUUCUUCAAUUUCAAAUAAAAAUCAGGGUCCUAGUGGCAUUCACAGUGUGUGGGGGACCAAGUGAACAGAAUUUUCCAUUUUUCAACCCGGUCGCCCUUGGCUUCAAAGCGAUCAAGCCACCCGUCUACGCGGCUCUUGGGUAGAUGUAAAUGCGCAGGCCGUUUCCGCCGCCGAAUUAAGCGCAGUCAACAUACCCAAUAUACUAGUUCUCAAAAUGAUUAGUGUGAGCUCUGGCCCGCCGUUAAAGUGCGACCUUAUGCGAGAAUUGGAAUCUUUAGUAAGCCUUUAGAAUAGGCGUGCCCUAACAAACAUUUUUUAGCCUGCUCUUAUCAUUUAGUUAUCCAUCUUUCAUAAGAAUAGGCCGUCGUUUUUGUCCGAUGGCCUCGAAUUAAGGCCGGCUCGCGCAUCGAGUUGACCAAAAUUCGAAUUUGCAAAGACAAGGAAGUAAUUGUUCUCCCAGAUCCGUAGUUGUCGGUGCAAUCUAAAUUCGUCCUUAUAAGGCAUCCAACUAACUGCGUAGAUCCGUAUGCCAACUGCAAGCAGUAAAGCCUUCAUUGGCUGUAAUACUCUGCAGUGUUGUAAGGCUCUAACUGAUUAAAGAGGACAGAUUGCAUUUAUGACUAAUUAUCAGUAUAAUAAAAUUUCUAAUUGAAUGCAAGCUAUCGUAAAAUGACAAUAAUCUGUUUGCCUAAAAACCGUAUUCCUGUUUCUCUAUAAACAUUUUUUUUUAAUUUUUUGGGGAGGACACAUUUUUUGGCAUUGAAAUUUACCACUUUCCCAUAAAUGUAAUUGCAAAGUUGGUUCACGAUGCAUAAUACGUAUAGAGAGCUUCUAGAUCCCAUCGUCAGGAUGAAUGCUCAGCGUGAAAGGUCUGCUCGUUUUAGGUUGGAAACCAGCCGACAACGCACAGAACAGCAAUGUUCUCACCUUCAGAUAUAAGGUAGGCUUGAGCCUGCGUUGUUUACCGUAAUCCAGAGUUUUUUAAACUAUGCUUCUAUAGCUUCUAUGCUGCUCAGCUCUCUUAGGUUCUGAAUAGACAAAAGGCGAAUCGGUCCGAAAGCAAGCUUAUAUGAGUGACUUAUAAACUGUAGUAAACUAGGAGCUGAAAGAGUAAUAGCCAACUGAAACAAUAUGUCGUUCAGCAGGAAUAAGUAUCUAUAGAGUAAUUUCGUCCAGAGUAGACGUUCCGGUUGUUUGAACUUCUUCUGAAGCAGAGGCUUCUGUCCGCAGAACAGCCCAAGGUUUGAUCCAUCAGGUUUCGAUGGGUGGCCCUGUGGGCCAUGAUUACAUGCAGGUCUCGAAAUGUACGAAAAGUUCGUUUGUUAAUUGAAAGAAUUAGAGCUUCUAAACGAUCUUGGUCAAACGUUAAAAUAGUAAUUAUGCGCUUCUAUGAAAGAAAAUAGUUCAUCAAAAGUGUUUUAAUUGGAUUAUUAAAAAAAAAUUAUACGAAUUAUUAUUAUUCUUUUAAAAUGGUCUACGCUUGUAGAACGUGUUUUGAUGCCUUCCGAUUUAACUGGCACAUCUCUUAUGUUGUGAAUUGGCCUUACAUUCACUUUCAUCUCAACUAGUGACGGUUCUUGUUCCGCGAAAAUAAUCCUAUCAUAUUUAAAACUGUGUAUGUCUAAUAUAAUUCAAUUAACUUCCUUAAGUUGUGGAUGCUUAUUUGCCGUCAUUAAAGAGCGAGUAGGUAAUGUCUUACAGCAACGAGGUGCCGCUAGGCACGGAAAUUUGCAUUUGAGGGUAAGUACCGAUAGAGUUUGACAAAGAGCUUAAGUUAUAUACAUAUAUCGCAUUUUCGUUAUACUUGUCUUUGUGUAUCUAAUUUCUCAAUUAUGUCAUUAGAAUUUGGUCAGUUCAAGUUCUUCGUAAAAAAAAAAAUUAAUACUCUGGUGCUUUGCCAAGUUUGUCGGAAACGUUUUCGCGGUACAUAUUUAUCAACGGAUAAAUAUCUGUAUACAUUUAAGUAAAAAUAUUUUUAACAUGUUUAAAUCGUACUUUCAAAAAUACUGUGGUUUAAAUUACUAGUCAGAAUAGUAUCCUUGAGCACAUAUUUCGAUAGAUAUUGACCGGUUUUUAGGUUGUUGUCGAAAGUAUCGACUUCGUCUGUGGACUUUCCCUGGUACUCAACGAUAAGGCCAAAGCGCGCCCUCCAGCCUUCUAUAGAAGCAAUUAUUUGCCGUCCUUGUUUUCUAAGGCCAAAACGAUGAUCCUUCGAACAGAACUGCUGGUGCAGUUGCUGUGGUAACCAUCGAGAGAAACUGUCUUCCCGUUGAUAUAGUUGCUUCCGUUCAGAAUUCCAAGAGUUGGGCACAAAAAAUACAGAUGCAGGAAUUGUCACGGAGCUUCGAACGUGUUUCCUUGACCGUCUUAUCACUGAUUCUUUUGAAUACUGGAAAGUCUGCAGUGUUUCGAUUCCGUCUAUUUAGUAUUAUAAUAAAAAAAAAAAAAAAGCUUUGGAGGCUUCUAGAAACAGCUACUAGCUCCGUUGUAUGUGCGUACGUUUCGCUAGUUUGACUCGUUUCCAGAGAAAUGAAACUUUACCAAGUUCAAUGCCGAUGCGUUAGUUCGAAGUUAGUCAGCGAUACAAAAAAAAAAAAAGACGGAAGCCAAUGGUACCAGCGUUUAGAAAAGACUUAACGAACCAGUUAAGAUCCUCGAACGAGCCGUGCAACAGCGCUAUGUUACACGCUGGCGCAGGCUGGUCGGGCCUAGACGGGCCAAUUUCCAAAUGCGGCCCAUGUAGUCUCCGUCUUCAGUUCAUCCAGUUUCAUUGUUAACAGUGUCCCAGGAGGUGGACAGUGCAAUCACUAUGCAACAUAGGUACAUCUGAAGGAUUCAUUGUCCUCUGGCAAACUGAUCUCACCCCAGGGUUGUUGGUCCACUCCCUGACAUUUUUUUACCGUCGCAUAACGGACCGAUCGGACGCUAAGACAAUCACUGACCAGACGUCGUCGCAAGACCGUGAAGCCGCUGCACAUACCUCGGUACUCA
rnacentral:lncRNA from 1 species